AUGACGACCCGGACCUCAUUCCUCCUCGUCCUUGCGCUAGCGCUGGCCGUCCAAGCCGCUCCCUCCGCCGGCGCGCCGGUCGCCGACACGGUGGCGGACUCGUGCAACGCGAUCCGCGACUUCGUGGACUACGCCUUCUGCGCCGCGGCGCUGCGGUCCAGCGGGCCGGGCGCCUCCACGGCGGACCGCCACGCGCACCUCCUCGUCGCGGCGGACCUCGCCGCGGCGCGCGGCACGUCGGCGCGGGACGCCGCCACCGCCAUGGCGCGCGACGAGCGGGACCCGGGCGCGCGCGACGGGUUGGAGGCGUGCGGGAUCCUCUACGGGGCCACCUCCGUCCCGGCGCUGCAGUUCAUGCGCGGCUACGCGGCGGCGCGGGCGUGGGACCGGGCGCGCUCGCUGCUGUCGCUCACGGGGCAGGCCGGGAUCGGCUGCGAGGCGGCGCUCGCCGGCGCGCCGGCGGCCAAGGGGAGGAUGGCCGCGGCCAACCGCGAGUUCGACCAGCUCACCACCAUGGCCACCGCGCUGCUCAACAGGGUCGAUCAUGUGGGAUGA
rnacentral:rRNA from 1 species